rnacentral:antisense_RNA from 1 species
AGAUGGCUCCCGAUCGUCAGAAUUCCUGUCCGCGCCUUGCGUCAGCCCCGCCGAAAGGAUCGCCCCCCUAGUCAAACCGCUCGCGCCCCAGAGGCCUCAUGGAGUCCCGCCUCAGGCUCGGGCCUUGGCCCCCAAAGAAAGCCACUCCGACGUGUUUGAGAUGGGCUUAGUUCCCGGACCCGUCCUACUGCCCCCAGGCGCUGGACAGCCUCAGAAAGAGGACAAGUCUGCAUGGAAAGAUAAUCGCACAACUGAGCCUUCUGGGAGAUGUAGUUCGGAGCUGGGAAGGCGGUUGGACCCUCCGAAAGUCAUCUUAAUUGCUCUCACAGAUAAGCCGGCGCUGGGCUGCCGGCCUUACUGUGCGCCCAGAGUGCGCAGGCGCAAACAUCCUGGGUUGCUGUUUUGGCCUCUUUGUUCGGGCGUGAAUUUUGUUUAUUGCUCCUUAGUGCAGAGGGGUUAUGGGACCAGAGGUUGUGAGACUCAAAACUGGUUGGGGACGCAGAAGGGGUGUAGACCAGGAACCUGCGACCUGAUGGGGGGAGGUCAAAGGGAAAGGAAUCGCCAAACGUGGGACGGGUUUGGAGAGGCAGAAAGAGAGGAGUCUGAAAUUGCAAAGGGCAGGUGUUAUUCUGACUUCUGUAUGCUUUGUGAUAAAUGAGUGGGACAGGAAGUAAGAGGAGUUUCACUUUCUCCUGCAAUUAUUUGUGUACUUGGACUAAGUGUAUCUCAUGGCCAGUAUUUGACUGCUUUUGACCUAUAAAGGUAUUGUAUACACAGUCGUGCAUAGUUU